rnacentral:rRNA from 1 species
UCAGUAGGGAAUCUUCCGCAAUGGACGAAAGUCUGACGGAGCAACGCCGCGUGAGUGAAGAAGGUUUUCGGAUCGUAAAACUCUGUUGUUAGGGAAGAACAAGUCAGGUAGUAACUGACCUGACCUUGACGGUACCUAACCAGAAAGCCACGGCUAACUACGUGCCAGCAGCCGCGGUAAUACGUAGGUGGCAAGCGUUGUCCGGAUUUAUUGGGCGUAAAGCGCUCGCAGGCGGUCUUUUAAGUCUGAUGUGAAAGCCCACGGCUUAACCGUGGAGGGUCAUUGGAAACUGGAGGACUUGAGUGCAGAAGAGGAGAGUGGAAUUCCAUGUGUAGCGGUGAAAUGCGUAGAGAUAUGGAGGAACACCAGUGGCGAAGGCGACUCUCUGGUCUGUAACUGACGCUGAGGAGCGAAAGCGUGGGUAGCGAACAGGAUUAGAUACCCUGGUAGUCCACGCCGUAAACGAUGAGUGCUAGGUGUUAGGGGGUUUCCGCCCCUUAGUGCUGAAGUUAACGCAUUAAGCACUCCGCCUGGAGACUCA